AGCUUUAAGGGAAGCUAAUCAUGUCAUUAAUGUUAAUGGCUACCCUUUGCUUGAAUGCUGGAAGAAUGUUGAUGCAUUUCUCACAUUAAAUGACACAAUUGAGGACUAUAUACUCCAAUUAUGUGAUGAAAAAUUGUCUCCUCGGUUGUCAUCACCAACUGAACCAAUUCCCGAGCUUUCUGGUGCUAAAAAACUUUUUAAUAGAAUUACUGAAAGGCAGCUACCAAAGUUUUUAGGCCAUACUAUUAAAAAUGGAGAUGAUCAUAAAAAACUAGCUUGUGAUUUUGUCCAUAGUAAGGGGCUAGAAAUAAAUGAAAGCUACUUAGAAUCAAAAGAAGCUACUUUUAAUUAUGGGAAAAAAGAGAAAGACCCAAUUUUGUCGCAUUAUUUUUACAAUAAGGAGAAGCCUGGUGUCACGCCCAAACCUUACAAGUUUGCAAGAAAAGAGGUGUCUUUAUUACUGCCUGCCAAAUUUGAAGAAACGCAGCUGUUUUGGUAUUAUGAUGUGACUGAACAUGAUAAGGAAUGUUCUGAUGAGGCAAAGACUGGCAGUGCCAUCAGGGAACGUUUGUUAGAAUACUUUACCAAUGUGACUAAAAAAGAGGCUGAAAAUUCUGAUGAUUAGAUAUGAAAUUUUAAAUAGU